CUUCUUUCUACUGUGAAAACAUAAUUGAGAUUUUGAAGCGCUCGUACCAUGAAUGUGAUAGAUAGCUGCUCAGAUAGGAGCUGGGUCGGAUAUAGGAGCCGAAGUUGGUGAGAGGAGCCUGGAGCUAAUCUAUGCUGCCAUAACCAUCAGGCGUUGGCAAACACCUCAGAAGGGACAAAAGACAGGCAGAAGAGAUGCUUUGGAAAUCAGUCCUCUGACUGAAUGACAGGUUGAUACUGACGUCUGAAUUGGGAGAGCAAUACAAUUAUGCAAGACAUCUAUUACUUUUCAUUGUCUUUUGUUAUUAUUGAACUGAAUGGUACUGUAUUCUUGUCAGGGAACUCCUGUCUUAUUUACUUGGAACUGUUACACUUGAAAGUUACAUCUACAUUGUUCAGCAAUUGCAGUCUUCUCAUAUACUCUGUAGGCUACUGACCAAUGCAAAGAUUCCUCCUGCAUUACAUUAUAUACAGUAGAUGGAAGGGACUUCAUUACCCACUGGAGACUUGAAGACAGAACCUCACAAGAGAGCUGUGCAUGUCAGUGAGUGGUUAGAAAGCCAAAUCCUUAUUUUUGAUCAAAACGACAAAUAGAAUGCCAUUCUAGUUCUGGUUAGACAGCUGAAGUUGUACUCUACACACAACUUAUUUUAGUUUACUACUUAAGUGUAGGUGUAUAAUGCUGUAAACCACAUUAUUUUUUUGUUUGUUGAUGAAUGUAUUUACACUCAAGCUGGGCGAUGUUUGUCCAAUGUCCACACAUAGGCUACACCUGUUGUAUGGAUAUUAGUAGUUCUGGAAUUUGUCUCCAGGGAAUGAUCUAACAGCAGACGUAAGGAGAGACGAGACGAACUAGCCAGUUACAGAAUAUUGUGUUGUAGUUGGUCAGCUGAGCUGAAUAAAGAGCGGGCAUUGAACUUGCAGUUGAUACCAUUUCCACGGUAACAUGUAUUUAAUUUACAUGACGUGAUGAAAUGUUGAAACUAAGUUGCAAGCUACUUUCAUAGCAAGGUGGUGUAGACACUGGCUCUUGCUAUCUUGCCAUAACUGAUUUGACAGAGAAAUAUCAUCUAUAUAGGCCAGUCAGUUGAGGCUAUCACCAAGCUAUGCUAGCAAGCUGCUGUCAGCUUGGCUAAACACAAGGUCAGCACAGAUUUGAGCCUACACAUAGAACUGAAUUAGCUGAGCAUCUUGAGAUGCCAAGUCAUUUAACUUCAAAACUUUGUUCUCUCCAUAACAAAACUAGCUUAGCGUACGUCACUGUACUCAUUACGGCCCUUGUUUGUUGUGAUUGAAUGGCAAAGACAAACCCUC
rnacentral:lncRNA from 1 species